AGUGAACGCUGGCGGUAGGCCUAACACAUGCAAGUCGAACGGCAGCACAGUAAGCGCUUGCUCUUACGGGUGGCGAGUGGCGGACGGGUGAGGAAUACAUCGGAAUCUCCUUUUUCGUGGGGGAUAACGCAGGGAAACUUACGCUAAUACCGCAUACGACCUACGGGUGAAAGCAGGGGAUCUUCGGACCUUGCGCGAUUGAAUGAGCCGAUGUCGGAUUAGCUAGUUGGCGGGGUAAAGGCCCACCAAGGCGACGAUCCGUAGCUGGUCUGAGAGGAUGAUCGGCCACACUGGAAGUUAGACACGGUCCAGACUCCUGCGGGAGGCAGCAGUGUGGAAUAUGGGACAGUGGGCGCAAGCCUGAUCCAGCCAUACCGAGUGGGUGAAGAAGGCCUUCGGGUUGUAAAGCCCGUUUGUUGGGAAAGAAAAGCAGCAGGUUAAUACGCCGCUGUUCUGACGGUACCCAAAGAAGAAGCACCGGCUAACUUCGUG
rnacentral:rRNA from 1 species